rnacentral:rRNA from 1 species
UACGUAGGGAGCAAGCGUUGUUCGGAUUUACUGGGCGUAAAGGGCGCGUAGGCGGCCUGUCAAGUCAACUGUGAAAUCUCCGGGCUUAACUCGGAACGGUCAGUUGAUACUGUCGCGCUAGAGUGCGGAAGGGGCAAUCGGAAUUCUCGGUGUAGCGGUGAAAUGCGUAGAUAUCGAGAGGAACACCUGAGGUGAAGACGGGUUGCUGGGCCGACACUGACGCUGAGGCGCGAAAGCCAGGGGAGCAAACGGG